ACGGAGGGUGCAAGCGUUGUCCGGAUUUAUUGGGUUUAAAGGGUGCGUAGGCGGGCAAGUAAGUCAGUGGUGAAAUCCUGCGGCUCAACCGUAGAAUUGCCAUUGAAACUACUAGUCUUGAAUACAUCUGAGGUAGCUGGAAUGCGUAGUGUAGCGGUGAAAUGCAUAGAUAUUACGCAGAACACCAAUUGCGAAGGCAGGUUACUAAGGUGUUAUUGACGCUGAUGCACGAAAGCGUGGGGAGCGAACAGG
rnacentral:rRNA from 1 species